rnacentral:piRNA from 1 species
UGCAGAAUGUCCAUGGUGGCCGCUGC